GACGAACGCUGGCGGCGUGCCUAACACAUGCAAGUCGAACGGGACCGGGGGCAACUCUGGUUCAGUGGCGGACGGGUGCGUAACACGUGAGGAACAUGACCUUCGGCGGGGGAGUAGCCGGCCCAACCGGCCGGGUAAGUACCGCGUACGACCACAUGGGGACGAUCCCUCGAGUGGUGAAAGACAGCAAUGCGCCGAUGGAGUGCCUCGCGGCCUAUCAGCUAGUUGGUGAGGUAACGGCUCACCAAGGCGACGACGGGUAGCUGGUCUGAGAGGAUGGCCAGCCACAUUGGGACUGAGACACGGCCCAGACUCCUACGGGAGGCAGCAGUGGGGAAUAUUGCGCAAUGGACGAAAGUCUGACGCAGCGACGCCGCGUGUGGGA
rnacentral:rRNA from 1 species